GACGAACGCUGGCGGCGCGCCUAACACAUGCAAGUCGAACGAGCGAGAGAGAGAUUGCUUUCUUGAGCGAGUGGCGAACGGGUGAGUAACGCGUGAGGAACCUGCCUCAAAGAGGGGGACACCAGUUGGAAACGACUGCUAAUACCGCAUAUGCCCACGGUGCCGCAUGGCACAGAGGGAAAAGGAGCAAUCCGCUUUGAGAUGGCCUCGCGUCCGAUUAGCUAGUUGGUGAGGUAACGGCCCACCAAGGCGACGAUCGGUAGCCGGACUGAGAGGUUGAACGGCAACAUUGGGACUGAGACACGGACCAGACUCCUACGGGAGGCAGCAGGUGGGAAUAAUGCACAAUGGGGGAGACACUGAUGUAGCGACGCCGCGUGGAGGAAGAAGGUCUUCGGAUUGUAAACGCCUGUUGUUGGGGAAGAUAAUGACGGUACCCAACAAGGAAGUGACGGCUAACUACGUG
rnacentral:rRNA from 1 species